rnacentral:lncRNA from 1 species
GUGUGGUUAAUCUUGGUGGACGCACAAAUACUAAAGCCACACUCUGCCUCGCUGGGUCCUCAGAGUUGAACCGGGAGGGAGGCGCGGCGUCCUCUGAGGCCGCCACUGCGGGAUCGGCACGCGAGGGCCUCUGGGAAGUGGAGUUCGCGCGGGCGCCCCGGCCGGGGGCGUGUUGCGGGAGCGAAGCUCCGCGUGCGCAGGCGCAUUUCCGGCCGAGCCGCGUCGCUGCGGCCAUUGUCCGGCCGGCCCCGGUGCGGCUGAGGCCGCUUUGGGCGGUCCGUUAGCUAAGCAGAAUCGGAGAGGACGGAGCUUGGAGUGGGGGCGGAAGGAGCCGGCCCGAGGCCCUGACUGGACCGGUGGUCGAGGAAAUCGGAGCCGCUCGGAGGCGGUGAUUCCGACUCCUGUCCGAGAGCGGGGCCCUGGCGAGGCGAGAAUGGCCCCGAGGCCGCCGACCGCCGUCGUCCGGGUGAGCAGCGCGUUCUUGUUCGCCCCGAGGCGUCCCACCCAGCCUGGCCCGCAGGAGGCGUUUGGGGCCUUGUUCUCCGCCCAGGACCCCCUUACCCGGGAGCUUCCUAGCCACUUGAAGUUCGAAGUGUCCAGAGCUGGGG